CGGCUGCCGAGCCUCAGCAGCAACCGACGGCUGAGCCUCAGCAGCAACCGACGGCUGAGCCUCAGCAGCAACCGACGGCUGAGCCUCAGCAGCAGAAGCAACAGGCCACUAUACCCCAGCAAGUUAGGUAUCCAGCUCAAAUGCCCCAGAAGCAUCUGGCCUCCAUGCCUCUGCCGCAGAAGCAACCGACCGCCGUGCCCCAGCAAGGGUGGCAUCCAGCUCAAAUGCUGCAGACACAACUGACCGCCAUGCCCCUGCAAGCAUGGUAUCCAGCUCAAAAGCCCCAGCUGCAGAAGCAAUUAGCCGCUGAACCUCAGCAGCAAAUUGAACUGACCGCAAUGCCCCAGCCACCUCAGCAAGUGUGGCAUCCAGAUCAAUUUCCCCAGCAGCAAAAGCAACCAGCUACUGAACCUCAGCAGCAGAAGGAACCGGCCGCCGUAACUCAGCAAGUGUUGCAUCCAGCUCAAAUGCUGCUGAAGCAACUGACUGCCAUGCACCAGUAUGUGUGGUAUCCAGCUCAAAAGCCCCAGAAUCAACCAGUCCCUAUGCGUCAACCGCAGAAGGAACUGACCGCCAUUCCACCACAACUGUGGCAAUCGGCUCAAAUGCCCCAGCAGCAUAAGCAACCGGCUGCCACGCUUCAGCAAGUGUGGCAAGCGGCCCCCAUGCCCCAGCAGCCUCAUGAUGUGUGGUAUCCAGCUAAAAUGGUCCAGAAGCAACAAGCCUCUGCAACUCGGCGGCAGAAGGAAAUGACCGCCAUGCCUCAGCAAGAGUGGCAUCCAGCUCAAAUGCCCCAGAAGCAAUCACCCACUGAACCUCGGCAGCAGAAGCAAUCGACCACCUUGGCCCAGGAAGUGUGGACUCCAGCUAAAUUUCCCCAGAAGCAACCAGCCCCAAUGCCUUUACCGCAGAAGGAACUGACCGCCAUACCCCAGCAACCUCAGCAAGUGUGGUAUUCAGCUCAAAUGCCUCAGCAGCAACCGACUGCUGAGCCUCAGCAGCAACCGACUGCUGAGCCUCAGCAGCAACCGACUGCUGAGCCUCAGCAGCAGAAGCAACAGGCCACUAUACCCCAGCAAGUUAGGUAUCCAGCUCAAAUGCCCCAGAAGCAUCUGGCCUCCAUGCCUCUGCCGCAGAAGCAACCGACCGCCGUGCCCCAGCAAGGGUGGCAUCCAGCUCAAAUGCUGCAGACACAACUGACCUCCAUGCCCGAGCUAACGUGGUAUCGAGCUCAAAUGCUCCAGCAGCAGAAACAACUGGCCACCAUGCUGCAGAAUCAACCAGCCCCAAUGCAUCUGCCGCAGAAGCAACCGGCCACCAUGCCGCCGCAAGUGUUGCAUCCAGCUCAAAUGCUGCAGAAGCAACAUACUGCCAUGCCCCAGCAAGCAUGGUAUCCAGCUCAAAAGCCCCAGCUGCAGAAGCAAUCGGCCGCUGAACCUCAGCAGCAAAUUGAACUGACCGCAAUGCCCCAGCCACCUCAGCAAGUGUGGCAUCCAGAUCAAUUUCCCCCGGAGCAGAAGCAACCAGCCCCUAUGCAUCUACCGCAGAAGGAACUGACCGCCAUACCCCAACUGUGGCAAACAACUCAAAUUCCCCAGCAGCAUAAGCAACCGGCUGCCAUGCUUCAGCAAGUGUGGCAUCUGGCGCAGAAGCAACCGGCCCCUAUGCCCCAGCAGCCUCACGACGUGUGGUAUCCAGCUAAAAUGGUCCAGAAGCAACAAGUCGCUGCACUGACCGCCAUGCCGCAGGCACAUCAGAAAGUGUGGCAUCCAGUUCAAAUGCCUCAGCAGCAGAAGCAACCAGCUACUGAACCUCAGCAGCAAAUUGAACUGACCGCCAUGCUUCAGACACAUCAGCAAGUGUGGCAUCCAGCUCAAUUUCCCCAGCAGCAGAAGCAACCGGCCUCCAUGCCUCUUCCGCAGGAGAAACCGACCGCCAUACCCAAGCAAGUGUGGUAUCCAGCUCAAAUGUCCCAGCAGCAACUGGCCUCCAUGCCUCUACCGCAGAAGCAACUGACCCCCGUGCCUCAGCAAUUAUGGCAUGUAGCUCAAAUGCCCCAGAAGCAACUUGCCCCAAUGUCUCAGCAGAAGCACUACGAAAGCACUGAAGAUGGUGUCUCUGGUAGCUCUCAGGCCAGCAUUGUUGAACAGUUGGGUGUCAUCCCAAUCUAUUCCUACAGUUCCAAAUCGCACUACGAGAAGGGCAGAACUGUCUUCUCCCAAACCCGCUACACUCCUAGGGAGGCUAUGCCUGUUGACAGUGGAAAUGCUCCCAAGGACAGUUAUGUUGGCAUUGGUGCACCAAGCAUGCAUCCACCACUAGUGAAGGAUUCUGCAAGGAAGUUGCUGGUGCUCAAGCGUGAUGGAAUCAAUAAACAAUUUUAUUUUCAAAAAUGUUUUGUCUCUUUGAAAUAAUGAUUCUUGUGUCCAUUGCUUGCUAAUUGAGAACAGGUGGUGUGC
rnacentral:lncRNA from 1 species